AACACAAAUUCAGUGUUUGUUGUUUCUUUCAUGUUUGGUUUGACAGAUCCAGUGUUUCCCUAGUUUGUUGAAUAGGAGAAUUGUCCGUGAUGAGUUUUUCAGAUCCUUCCUGUGCCUUCAUGUUGAAAGCUCCAGAGAGAUACUGAUUCUUGGCAAUUUCACUGCCUGCUUGGAUCGAAAGUGGUUUCAUGAGUUUAAACUGAGGGAAAUAUACUCUGAAAGAUUUAAUAGACUAAUCACUGCCACUUCAGCUUUUUCUUACACUGGCAUCUUUUGGCACUAUAUGAACGCCGUAUUACCAGGUAAUCACAGGACUGGACAAGUCCCUGAGCAACCUGAUCUGAUUAGACCUCUUUUGAACAGUGGAUUGGACUAGAGAACCUCCGGAGGUCCCUUCCAACCUGAAUUAUUCUGUGAUUGAUGCUAUGACAGAAACUGCGUUAUAAAAGGGCAUAAAAAAAACUAAUAAAUGGCCAUUCAACACCUGUAAUGAUGAUAGG
rnacentral:lncRNA from 1 species